UAUUAAAAAUAGUAUCCAACAAAUGAUAUAUCAAAUUAAAGCUGAGAGUUUUACUCUUACAAUAUUGAAAAUAGCUUUAGAAAUCUGAAAGUUAUUGAGGGUAAUUCCGCGAAUUCCGGACUUUUUUAUAGUAUGUACUAGAUCACAGAAUUGACAGAUAUCCAAAGAGCCAGCCUGAAAGUGGCGAAUAACCACUGGUUCCAUGCAACGUAAAAGCACGGCCCAAAGCAGCUCCUGUUUCAUAUUAAAAAAAGAAAAGAAAAAAAAAAACUUCGUCUUUCUUGGAGGAGUUUGGAGUCACUCAGAUUUCAUCCUUUCUCCCGAUCCGCAAAUUCUUCCAAAAGUAUUCCUUCCGGGUUCACAAAGAUGCAGCGAAGACUUUUCUGUGCGAGAACUUUGCCUCCUAUUAAUUGGUACCUUAAGGAUCAAAAUGCUUUGCAAUGUAGCCUGUCCUCUUCGCUUUCGGAAAAGGAGAGAAUCUUCUCCCUCCGCUCACAGUCUUCAGAGACGCCUUGGAAGGCCGAAGGGCAUGUUCACAAAAUGCAAUAAAUAACUGAAGGAGAUGUCGGCUCAAAGAACCAGAUCCAGAUGAGGAGGAGCUCCCGGAAGAUCACUACAAUUACCCUAGACCUUCAGGACAAGAAAUGGAAAGGUGACUACCUACUAACCUUCGAUUGGGGGCUUGAAAGUUUUGCACUGGCCUGGAGCAGACCCAAAAUUGUACCGAUCCUGAAGACUAGUCUACUCUUACAAGACAAUCAAUGGAAAGUUGGCUCACUUCCUUUGCUUGGGGGAGCGAAGGUUGUGCGCUGACCUAGAACAGACCAGAAAUUGUACCGAUCCUGACGAUUAGCCUACUCAUACAAGAAAAUAAAUGGUACCCAACGAUUAGCCUACUUAUAGAAGAAAAUAAAUGGAACCCGACGAUUAGCCUACUCAUAGAAGAAAAUAAAUGGUACCUGACGAUUAGCCUACUCUUACAAGA